GUGCUCGCUUCAGCAGCACAUAUACUAAAAUCGGAACGAUACAGAGAAGAUUAGCGUGGUCCCUGCACAAGGAUGACACGCAAAUUCGUGAAACGUUCCACAUUUUU
rnacentral:snRNA from 1 species